rfam:Hortaea werneckii EXF-2000 unitig_33, whole genome shotgun sequence.
UUGCAAUGAUGAUUGGAUUAAAUUUUCAGUUCUGCUACUGAAAACACAAUGUCGACAACUCAUACCAAGCUUACCAUUGACUGAUAU